rnacentral:rRNA from 1 species
AUGUGCAUUCCUACAGCAUAGCGCUAAUGCAUCGGAUCCCAUUAGAAAUUUAUAGUUAAGUGCGCUCAGGCUAGAGUAGUACUGGGAUGGGUAACUUCCCGGGAAGUCCUAGUGUUUUACAUG